GUUAUAGGCCAUUUAAUGUGGUGAGUACGUAAUAUUGAAUCUUCAUAGGAAAUUUUACCAAUGAUUUGACAGUAGUUAUAAGGCCGAUUGUGAUGUAUAGGAAUCAAUCUAUUGUAAGGGAUUGAAGCCACCAAUAAGGCUGCUAAACGUUUAUUUUGAAACUCAUAAUAGUUAAAUUUGCCUUGGAUAUAUCAAACUUGAAGCAAAUCGAAAAACUCAUGACCCAAUAUGGUCAAUGAAAGUGCACAGAUGAAAGCCAACAUAUUUAUAUAUAUAAUCUCUUUUUGAACUAGAUUGUGUAAUUCUUAAAUCAGAUAAAGAUUUUCUGUCAUUUCUAUACAGUUUAUUUCUCAUAAUUUGUAUUAAAGCUUUCAAACAUGUUAGUUUAAUAUAUGAGCAAACGAAUCAAAUAACUUUUCUGUCAAAGUUCAUACUUAAAAAGAUGAGUUUGAUUUUUUUUACAGGUAUAUUCCAUUUUUCAUCAGCUUCUUCUUAUAUUUUGUUGGUUGUUUCACUUCCAAAUUAACAACUCCAUCUUCAACAACAUCAUGGUGGCUGCUGAUGUUAGUCAGUGGAUUAUAUUACUGGUAAGUAAUGCAACUACGUAAUUAACAACAAAAGUCAAUGACAGUAUUCAUACAAUACAGACCAACCAAUGGAAACUGCUCUUUUGGACUUCAACAAUGGACAAGAUCACAAGUUCAAAAUCGCCAUAUUCUAGAAACAAUUUAUAAUAACUAAAGAUGCAAUAAUCGACAAUCAAAUAAUUAAUGUCAUCAUCGUUAACAAAUUUCGAAAUUUUAUAUAACUAUGAUUUCUUUUAAAGCUAACAUUAAACUUCUCAACCAGUUCUCCUCGAUCUGUUUUAUGUCCUGUUAACAUUAUCAAAUAUGGAUUUAGCAUUCAGAAUAAUCUGCCACGAGCGAAACUAAGUAAUUAAUAUAAACGGUAAUGAGCAGACGGACACACCAAAACAAUAUACAUAGCAUUUGUCUGGUCAAUAGUCUACAAUGAUUAACCAGUACUUUUGAUCUUUUACAGGUACUUGGUGACGGAGGGACAAAUAUUCUCCGUAUACAUCAUAACCUUUAUAUGUAUGUUAACAAUGGUAAUAAUUAAAAAGGGCAAAGGACAGAUAAUGGAUGUCAAUGGCAGAUUUCUAUUCUAUUCAUUUACAACAACUUUUGUAUUAGUAGGGGUAUGGGUGCUUUGGUUGUGGAAUGAUCCUAUUCUAAGACAUAAGUAUCCAGGUUUAUUGUACAUUCCGGAACCGUGGUCAUAUUAUACUCUGUAUUUGAAGCCACAUUAAAUUCACUCAUUAUUAAAUUUUAUUUUAUUGAGAUUUUUACAUCACAAUUUCAACCUUAAGUCAUUAAUAAAAUAUGUAUUUGUCAAACUAACUGUUCACUGUUUACGUUGCAAACGCAAACGCCAUUUUCCUUUUUACCAUAUCAAUUAUUAUUAUCUAGCACAUUAUCAAGAAAAUAUGAGAUACAUUAUUUCUGUGUUGUUAGUAAAUAAAUGGACAUAUUAAAUAAUCACCAAUGAUGCCGCACCCUAACAACACAAACAUUACUGAACAUCUUCUGUUCUGGCGCAUUUGUCUAAACAAGCAUCCAGUUAGCUCUACAAAUUGUGCGAUAAUUCGCAGUUUGCGAUUGAUCUGGUUUAGGACCUAAAUUCCAAAGUACGGAUUUGGAACAAGAUGAACUGGUUACAUGUAGCAUUAAGCAAACCCCUAAUUAUAAGGGUAUGUAAUGCCGUAUUAAAGUUUAGCGUCCUUCAUCAUUACAUCUGGAUUUCUACAAAUGCAUUCUUCGACAU
rnacentral:lncRNA from 1 species